GCUUGCGGGGCGCUCCCAGCUGCCAGCCCGCUGCACCUAUCGCGGACUCUGUUUCGCCGACCCGGAGUUUGUCGGGCCCGGCGGCUCGAACCUUGUGGUUUUUUAUUUGACGGGGCAGAUGGAGUCAGUACACAAUAAAUAACAUGAAUAUAGGAACUGCGCCGUAUCGCGGCUGGCGGGGUGGGGCAAGACAUUGGCCAGACCUUUAGUCUGCAGCAGGACAGAAGGACAGCCGGACCCCUGAUCUUGGGCAACUGGCGACCCGCGGCUGGGAACCGGGGCUAACUCUUCCCUCAGAGUUCCACGCGCGCAUCGCGGUAGGCCCGGUCCAGAGCCCACUCGGGCUGUGAGUCGGUGCCCCCUUCUCGGGCAAGGCGGGCCAUCUCCUGUUGGAACAGCGCUUGCCGCGCUCGGCUGGGGUCCACAUUAAUCCAGUUGUUGGCAAUCCACUUGGUGCCGCGCGUGACCAGGCAGCCCCCGUGCAGCGAGUAGUCGUCUACGUCACCCACCCAACCUAGAAGAGGAGGGUGACGUGAGAUCCUAGGCUGGGCUGGCCAGAGCUUGGCCUCAUAGGCACCAAGAGCAUGACCAAGGUGGGUCCAGCUAUGCAUUCCUUGUGUAGCAAACACCCAGACCUAAAGCUUCCUUGGAGGCUCCUCAUCUCAGCCCAC
rnacentral:lncRNA from 1 species